rnacentral:rRNA from 1 species
GACGGGGGGGGCAAGUGUUCUUCGGAAUGACUGGGCGUAAAGGGCACGUAGGCGGUGAAUCGAGUUGAAAGUGAAAGUCGCCAAAAAGUGGCGGAAUGCUCUCGAAACCAAUUCACUUGAGUGAGACAGAGGAGAGUGGAAUUUCGUGUGUAGGGGUGAAAUCCGUAAAUAUACGAAGGAACGCCAAAAGCGAAGGCAGCUCUCUGGGUCCCUACCGACGCUGGGGUGCGAAAGCAUGGGGAGCGAACAGG